rnacentral:rRNA from 1 species
UACGAAGGGGGCUAGCGUUGUUCGGAAUUACUGGGCGUAAAGGGCGCGUAGGCGGUCUUGUAAGUCUUGUGUGAAAUCCCUCGGCUUAACUGAGGAACUGCACGGGAUACUGCGAGACUUUGAGAUCGGGAGAGGGAAGCGGAAUUCCGGGUGUAGCGGUGAAAUGCGUAGAUAUCCGGAGGAACACCGGUGGCGAAGGCGGCUUCCUGGACCGACACUGACGCUGAGGCGCGAAAGCUAGGGGAGCAAACGGG